CGCACAUUGCGCCCAUUAGCAUUCUAGUGGGCAUGCCUGUUCGAGCGUCAUUUCAACCCUUAAGCCCUGUUGCUUAGCGUUGGGAGCCUACGGCACGUAGCUCCCUAAAGUCAUCGGCGGAGUCGGUUUCACUCUAAGCGUAGUAACUAUAUCUCGCUUCUGCAGUGGUCCCGGCCCCCGCCGUAAAACCCCCUAUUUCUAAAGGUUGACCUCGGAUCAGGUAGGAAUACCCGCUGAACUUAA
rnacentral:misc_RNA from 1 species